CCAGAGACCUCCACCCUGACCCCCGAGGGACUCCCACCCUGACCUUUGGGCCCACUCAACCCCUGGAAACACUCUGGGACCCCCACCCUGACACCUGAGAACCCUCCUGGACCUCCAGGAUCCCCCAUGCCCCCAGCCUGACCCCUGGGACCCCCUUAGGACCCCCACCCUGACCACUUGGGGACCCCUCUGAUAGCUCGGACCCUCUGGGACCCCCACUGUGACAGCUUUGGGACCCCAGCCAUGACCUCUGACCCCACCCAACCCCUAGGAGCCUUCUUGGAACCCCACUCUGACCACUCUGUGACCCCCACUCUGACCCUCAAGACCCUUCCAUGACCUCUAGCACCACCCCAGGACCCCUACCCUGACCACUGUGGGACCCCAACCAUGACCUCUGACCCCCUUGACCUCUGGGCCCCACUUUGGGCCCCCUACCCUGACCACUUUGGGACUCCCUGGGACCCCCACACUGACCACUGUGGGACUACAGCCAUGACCUGUGACCCCUUGAGCUCUGGGACCCCUCUUGGGACCCCCACCCUGACCCCCGAGAGCCCUCCCUGAUCUCGAGGACCCCCUGCUCCCCUAACCCUGACUGCUCUGUGAGCCCCACCCUGACCCCCGAGACCCUUCCAUGACCUCCAGCACCACCCCGGGACCCCCACCCUGACCGCUUUGAGACCCCUCUGAGCCUGGGAACCCUCUGGGCCCCCCCAGGUGCUGGCAGCGGCGCGGGGGGGCGGCGAGGCGGCGCGGCGGGAGCUGGCGGCUCUGCGUGCCGAGCACGGCGCGGCGCGUGCCGAGGUGGCGGAGGUGCUGGCGGCGCUGGAGGAGCUGGCACGCAGCUACGACCGCAAAGCGCAGGAGGCCGAGGACACCGGGCGCCACAACCGGCGCCUGGCCGACGAGCUGGCGCGCACCGAGGCGACCACGCUGUCGCUGGAGACGGAGCUGCAGCGCGUGCGGGACCUGGGCGGGCAGCAGCGCAAGCGGGCGGCCGAGGUGCUCAACGGGCUGAUGCGGGACCUCAGCGAGUUCAGCGUCAUCGUGGGCAACGGCGAGAUCAAGCUGGUGAGGGCGGCAGGAGCCACGCCGUGUCUGCCCAUGUGUGCCCAUGUGUGCCCAUGUGUGCUCAUGUGUGCUCAUGUGUGCCACGUGUGCCGUGCUGUGCUGUGUCAUGUGUGCCAUGCCGUGCCUGUGUGUGCCGUGCUGUGCUGUGUCUGUGUGUGCCGUUCCGUGCUGUGCUGUGCUGACCAUGCUGUGCCGUGCUGUGCCAUGAUGUGCUGACUGUGCCACGCUGUGCCAUGCCGUGCCAUGCUGAUCGUGCCGUACCAUGCUGAGCUGACCAUGCCAUGCUGACCAUUCUGUGCCAUGCUGUGCCAUGCUGACCAUGCCACGCUGUGCCAUGCUGUGCCAUGCUGACCAUGCCAUGCUGACCAUGCUGACCAUGCUGAGCCAUGCUGUGCCAUGCUGUGCCAUGCUGUGCCAUGCUGACCAUGGCAUGCUGACCAUGCUGACCAUGCUGAGCCAUGCUGUGCCAUGCUGUGCCAUGCUGACCAUGCCAUGCUGACCAUGCUGUGCCAUGCCAUGCCGUGCUGUGCCACGCCGUGCUGACCAUGCCGUGCCAUGGCAGCCGGUGGAGGUGAGCGGUGCCAUCGAGGAGGAGUUUGCGGUGGCACGGCUGUACAUCAGCAAGAUCAAGUCGGAGGUGAAGUCGGUGGUGAAGCGGUGCCGGCAGCUGGAGGGGC
rnacentral:lncRNA from 1 species